GGAGGAAAGGCACGCGAGUUUGGAGGGGGUGGAGCACCUGAAGUGGACCUGAAUAUGACACGACGGGACAGCUGCAAGGGAGCCCCUAGGUGUUGGGAAGACCCUCGCCCUGCGCCGUGUGCAGAUGUUCCUCUGUCUCAGUGGACGGAUGUGUGGAGAGGGGCUUCUUUCUCUUUCUACGGAGCAAGGAUUCCACGCCCUAAGCUGAUGUAAGCUGACGGGGCAUUUCUGAGAACAUCCAGAUCUGAGAAGGCAGACUCCGUG